rnacentral:rRNA from 1 species
GACCAUUUGUACCCAACAGAAUUCCUGAAUAGCUUGAAGUGCCCUGGAAUACCAGAUCACGAAAUACGGCUGAAAGUUGGACUGCCAGUUAUGCUGCUACGGAAUAUCAACCAAAGCGAGGGCUUAUGCAAUGGUACGAGACUAACUAUAACACAACUAGGUAAAUGGUUCAUAGAAGCUCAGAUAAUAACAGGGACAAACAUUGGAAACAAGGUAUAUAUUCCAAGGAUUAUUAUGUCACCAAGUGACUCAAAAUGGCCGUUUGUGUUGAAAAGGAGGCAGUACCCAAUAUCAGUUUGUUUUGCGAUGACGAUAAAUAAGAGUCAAGGGCAGUCUCUAAAACAUGUG